GGGAAUAGCUUAGUUGGUAGAGAAGAGGAUUGAAAAUCCUCAUGUCACCAGUUCAAAUCUAGUUCUUUUCA
rnacentral:tRNA from 1 species